UACGGGGGGGAGCAAGCGUUGUUCGGAUUUACUGGGCGUAAAGGGCGCGUAGGCGGCGUGACAAGUCACUUGUGAAAUCUCCGGGCUUAACCCGGAGCGGCCAAGUGAUACUGUCGUGCUAGAGUGCGGAAGGGGCUACUGGAAUUCUCGGUGUAGCGGUGAAAUGCGUAGAUAUCGAGAGGAACACCAGUGGCGAAGGCGGCUCACUGGCCCGGAACUGACGCUGAGAUGCGAAAGCGUGGGGAGCAAACAGG
rnacentral:rRNA from 1 species